ACAAUGAAUUAAAAUCCCAAACGAGUACUAUAAAUAAGUGCCCUCUCUAGCGACAAAAAAUCACGAGCAACAAAAUGAAAACUAAAUACGCGCUUUGGUUUAUGGUGAUGGUGCUUCUAGUUUUGGGUUUGGGCUCCGAGGCAGAGGGAAGUCCAUGCGUAUCGGCGAGUUCAAGCUAUGGGGGUCCAUGUGUGAACCACACUGCUCAAUGCCAGCAAGCUUGCCUCAAUGAGGGUUACACCUCCAGUUUCUGCGGCGGCUCUGACGGAGACCGUUGUUUCUGCACUAAACGCUCCUGCCGUUAGUUGCAUCUCGUCUCGUCUCGUCUCAUCUCAUCUCGUCUGCAUACAGCAUAGUGAGAAGCCAUGGGUAGGACUUGUAUAUCACCAAGUCAUAAGUUCAAAGGUCAAUGUUGGAGAGACCACAAUUGUAAAGUAAUUUGCAUAGGUGAAGGUUUUGAAGAAGGCAAAUGUGAAGGUUUCUUACGUAAAUGUAUAUGUGUGAAAACUUGCUGAUAUUUUCCUAUGGAUUUAUCAAGCUAUAAUAAACGAUGUGUAUGUCGUUAUUUAUAAAUGAAAUAAAGUUGGCUUCUUUAUUCUA